AGAAUCAACGCUGGCGGCGUGCCUAACACAUGCAAGUCGAACGAGAAAGGGUAGCAAUACCUGAGUACAGUGGCGCACGGGUGAGUAACACGUGACUAACCUACCCUGGAGUGGGGAAUAACUGAGGGAAACCUUAGCUAAUACCGCAUAAUACCUACGGGUCAAAGGAGCAAUUCGCUUCAGGAGGGGGUCGCGGCAGAUUAGUUAGUUGGCGGGGUAAUGGCCCACCAAGACGAUGAUCUGUA
rnacentral:rRNA from 1 species